rfam:Enterococcus asini ATCC 700915 genomic scaffold acvKe-supercont1.3, whole genome shotgun sequence.
ACAACAAGUUAGAGCCCGUUAAUGGGUGAUAGCGUGCCUUUUGUAGAAUGAACCGGCGAGUUACGAUUGCAUGCGAGGUUAAGUUGAAGAGACGGAGCCGCAGCGAAAGCGAGUCUGAAUAGGGCGAAUGAGUAUGUAGUCGUAGACCCGAAACCAUGUGAUCUACCCAUGUCCAGGUUGAAGGUGCGGUAAAACGCACUGGAGGACCGAACCCACGUACGUUGAAAAGUGCGGGGAUGAGGUGUGGGUAGCGGAGAAAUUCCAAUCGAACUUGGAGAUAGCUGGUUCUCUCCGAAAUAGCUUUAGGGCUAGCGUCGAAGUUGAGAAUGAUGGAGGUAGAGCACUGUUUGGACUAGGGGCCCAUCUCGGGUUACCGAAUUCAGAUAAACUCCGAAUGCCAUUCAUUCAUAUUCGGCAGUCAGACUGUGAGUGAUAAGAUCCAUAGUCGAAAGGGAAACAGCCCAGACCACCAGCUAAGGUCCCCAAAUAUAUGUUAAGUGGAAAAGGAUGUGGGGUUGCACAGACAACUAGGAUGUUGGCUCAGAAGCAGCCAUCAUUUAAAGAGUGCGUAAUAGCUCACUAGUCGAGUGACCCUGCGCCGAAAAUGUACCGGGGCUAAACAUAUUACCGAAGCUGUGGAUUGUACCUUUGGUACAAUGGUAGGAGAGCGUUCUAAGGGCGUUGAAGGUAGAUCGUGAGGACUGCUGGAGCGCUUAGAAGUGAGAAUGCCGGUAUGAGUAGCGAAAGACAGGUGAGAAUCCUGUCCACCGAAUGACUAAGGUUUCCUGGGGAAGGCUCGUCCGCCCAGGGUUAGUCGGGACCUAAGCCGAGGCCGAUAGGCGUAGGCGAUGGACAACAGGUUGAUAUUCCUGUACCCGUUCGCUUUGUUUGAGCAAUGGAGGGACGCAGGAGGCUAAGAAGUGCAGACUGAUGGAUAUGUCUGUUCAAGCAGUAAGUCUUGUGAUGAGUCAAAUGCUUAUCACUAUACGGACAAGCUGUGAUGAGGAGGGAACUAAUAGUACCGAAGCUUCUGAUGUCACACUGCCAAGAAAAGCUUCUAGUGAGAAACGAACGGCCCGUACCGCAAACCGACACAGGUAGUCGAGGAGAGAAUCCUAAGGUGUGCGAGAGAACUCUCGUUAAGGAACUCGGCAAAAUGACCCCGUAACUUCGGGAGAAGGGGUGCUGCUCGUAAGAGCAGCCGCAGUGAAUAGGCCCAAGCGACUGUUUAUCAAAAACACAGGUCUCUGCAAAAUCGAAAGAUGACGUAUAGGGGCUGACGCCUGCCCGGUGCUGGAAGGUUAAGAGGAGUGCUUAGCGCAAGCGAAGGUACGAAUUGAAGCCCCAGUAAACGGCGGCCGUAACUAUAACGGUCCUAAGGUAGCGAAAUUCCUUGUCGGGUAAGUUCCGACCCGCACGAAAGGCGUAACGAUUUGGGCACUGUCUCAACGAGAGACUCGGUGAAAUUU